AACGCGAAGAACCUUACCAGGUCUUGACAUCCUCUGACAACCCUAGAGAUAGGGCUUCUCCUUCGGGAGCAGAGUGACAGGUGGUGCAUGGUUGUCGUCAGCUCGUGUCGUGAGAUGUUGGGUUAAGUCCCGCAACGAGCGCAACCCUUGAUCUUAGUUGCCAUCAUUUAGUUGGGCACUCUAAGGUGACUGCCGGUGACAAACCGGAGGAAGGUGGGGAUGACGUCAAAUCAUCAUGCCCCUUAUGACCUGGGCUACACACGUGCUACAAUGGACGGUACAAAGAGCUGCAAGACCGCGAGGUGGAGCUAAUCUCAUAAAACCGUUCUCAGUUCGGAUUGUAGGCUGCAACUCGCCUACAUGAAGCUGGAAUCGCUAGUAAUCGCGGAUCAGCAUGCCGCGGUGAAUACGUUCCCGGGCCUUGUACACACCG
rnacentral:rRNA from 2 species